AGAAAAAUAGCUCUUUACAUAAGAUAAUGAUGAAGCAUUGUUGAGAGC
rfam:Streptococcus sp. DF1 DF1_Contig2, whole genome shotgun sequence.